AAAAGGGGUUUUGAUUCUCUCUCUUCUUCUAUUUUAGUUGAAUCGUCCCUCUCUACUCUUCGAUGAUCAGGUUUAUGCUUCGAGUUUGUUUUGAAGCUCAACUUCGCUUGGAAGCAUCAUAUCACAAUUGGCUGGAGGUUUCUCUUGUCACCGAGGUUGGUAGUGCGCAUAAGGAAAGGAAUGUUGUGAGAUGGAAAAAAUGACGCACGGCUUAAAAGUUAAAAAAACGUCUUUACAUAAAGACUAAGAAUCAGUUUUCCACUACACACGGCUUAGGACAAAGACUUUAUUUUGCUACCCACGGCUUAGAACAACUAGAUGGAAAAAUGUACCCACGGCUUUUGAGCAUGU